rnacentral:rRNA from 1 species
GGAGUCUAGCAUGUGCGCGAGUCAUUGGGAUAGCACUAAACCUAAAGGCGCAAUGAAAGCGAAGGCCCGCCUCGCGCGGGCCGAGGGAGGAUGGGUGGCCCGAGGGUCGCCCCGCACUCCCGGGGCGUCUCGUUCUCAUAGCGAGAAGAGGCGCACCUAGAGCGUACACGCUGGGACCCGAAAGAUGGUGAACUAUGCCUGGUCAGGACGAAGUCAGGGGAAACCCUGAUGGAGGUCCGUAGCGAUUCUGACGUGCAAAUCGAUCGUCGGAACUGGGUAUAGGGGCGAAAGACUAAUCGAACCAUCUAGUAGCUGGUUCCCUCCGAAGUUUCCCUCAGGAUAGCUGGCGCUCGCCGCGUGCGAGUCUCAUUCGGUAAAGCGAAUGAUUAGAGGCAUUGGGGUCGAAACGGCCUCAACCUAUUCUCAAACUUUAAAUGGGUGAGAUCUCCGGCUUGCUUAAACGGUGAAGCCGCGAGAGAUACUGACACUGGAUCAGGGUGCCAAGUGGGCCACUUUUGGUAAGCAGAACUGGCGCUGUGGGAUGAACCAAACGCCGAGUUAAAGCGCCUAAAUCGACGCUAAUGGGAUACCAUGAAAGGCGUUGGUAACUUAAGACAGCAGGACGGUGGCCAU